AAAAUUUUAUAAAUGGGAUCUGAAGACGAUAUAUUUUAUCAAAUUAGACAAUUGAUUCCGGGGUGCUCUCGGUGCACGUUUGGCUAGGGCGUGCUAUCGUGCACCUCCGGCUAUGGCUCGCUGGGAAUGGAAGGGCCGGCCCCAAAAAAUACCAAAGACACUACCAGCAGACACUGAUCGAAACAUAACGCCAACAUCUGGGAUUUCACAACUACUAAACCGUAUCCGACUUGUAAGUUGGAUACCUGGAUCGAGUACGACGGAUAUCAUCACCCUUGUCCCACCAGCACAUCAGGCACAUGAGUUGCAAUCGUCUGCUAGAGCAGAGCCAAUAGUGACUACGAAGAGUGGUGGGCAAGGACCUCGACUGUCAGGACUGUCGCGAUUCCUACUGCUCUAGCGGCAAGGAAAUUAGAUUUCCCCAUGGAGAAAAGCAAGCAACCUACUCUGGCCGUUAUUGUUCGAGGGAAUCAUUCUCAACAACAAGGUAUGCAAUUGAACUACUCUCCACUUAUUGUUAAGGAUGGGUAAAAGAUGGUCAAAUUGAAUCCAGUUGAGAUUAAUUAGCAGUGCAAGAAAUGGAUAUCUGCUCUGUGUAAUGGGCACUUGGGCAGUAACCCACCUUUCAAGGAAAUGCUAAGAUGGGUUUAUGGGGUUUGGAGAUCUGUUGUCCUAAAGUAUUCCUUCAUGAUGAUGGAUUACAUCUUUAAAUUCGAAUCUGAGGACAAGAUGCAUAUACUAGAGAAUGGACCAUACACCUUCAAUAGUAGACCUAUGGUGAUUAAAAAUUGGGUGUCGUAUUUCAAGCUAGUGAAUGAACCUAUGAGGGUGAUACCCAUAUGGGUGGUUUUUCCGGGACGAGUACAGUAUCGAGCAAAGGAAAUCUUAGGAAGUACUGCGAGUUCCUUGGGCAUGCCAGUUUGCAAGGAUAAGUUGACUGCUCAUGGUGAAAGGAGAUCUUAUGCACGAAUCCUUAUAGAAAUGGAUGUUGCUCAGAUCCUACCGGUUAAGGUAUCCAUUGAAAGGUCAGAUGGAAGCAUAAGAGUGCAAGAUAUUGAAUAUGAAUAAAACCCAAAGUUUUGUCUGAGUUGCAACAAGUUUGGACACAUGUCAGGAAACUGUGAGACUCUACAGAGACCAGCAGUGAGGCCAAAAUAAUGCCAGGAUGAUUGAUAAAACUUGGAGAGCUAAGGCAUAUGAUUCAACACAAAAAGAACGACCAGUGCAGACAGUUAUUCAUCAACAGACUACUGACCCUAAGGUGACUAACAAGCAGAUUGAUCCUAUUGAGACCUCUUUACCUAAGGUAGACUCUAGAGGAAAGCAUAAGGCUGAAUUGAGACAAGUAACAGAUUAUGAGAUUGAAGGAGAGAUGCAGAGGAUACUCCAAACAUUCGCUCCCUUGAGAAUUUAGGAAGACACAGCUUCAAGAAAAGCCAGUAGGUUUUAUAAGCCUCCUGGACAACAGACUAAGCUGAUGGAGUUGAAGAAGGUGGAUAAAGGGUCCCAUACAACCACCAAUCCCCCAUGAUUAUUUGCUCUUGGAACAUUUGGGGGCUGAAUAUGCCCUCCAAGCAAGAAGAACUCAAGACCUCCUUGUUUAAGAAUAAUAAUAGCAUGUCUUGAGACUAGAAUGAAGAUCUCUAACGCUGAGAAAAUCCAAAAAAAUAUAGGAGUGGAAUGGGAAAUCAGGAACUAUAGUACAAGAAGGAACAACGGUAGAAUAUGGUUGUGCUGGAAACAUAAUGACCCCAUAGUGGAUGUAGCGUUUUACUCUGCCCAGCUGAUUCAUUGUGUGGUGAUGGAUAAAUAUUCUCCUUUCAAGUGUAGUAUUAGUUGGGUAUAUGGCUGAAAUACUAUUGCAGAAAGGUAGGAUCUUUGGGACCAGUUGAGAGCUGUGCAUAACACUGUUAGUGGGCUUAAGCUGAUUCUUGGAGACUUCAAUAGUAUACUGAAUUCCAAGGACAAACUUUAUGGUGUCCCUGUACAUCUUUCAGAAGCUAUGGACUUUCAGGACUGCAUUGAUGAUAUUGGAAUAGGGUAUGUUACUUGAAGUAGUUUUCUAUACUCUUGGUGCAACAAAAGGGACUCUAAUGAUAGAAUCUACAGUCACAUAGAUUGGGUAUUAGGCAAUGCUCAAUGGUUUCACUCAUAUGGACAUAUUGUUGCUGAUUACUUACAUCCAGUAUGCUCAGAUCAUUCUCCAGUGGUACUCAAUACAGUAACUCAACAGGUCAAAGUCAAAGGCCUUUCAGACUUCUGACAGUACUGUUACAACAAAAGGAUUUUAAGCAAAUAUUUUUGGAUGUUUGGGCACAACAAAUUCCUGGACGCCACGUGUUUAAAAUAUGGAAGAAGCUUAAGCUAAUUGAACAAAGAAGCAGGGGUAUGUCAAAAGAGUACUUCCCAAUUGAAACAAAGCUGAAUGGGCUGAAACAAAAACGGAAUGAUAUCCAAGAUGCAUUGAGCACUGAUUUACUAAAUCAUCUGUUGAUCUUAGAGGAGAGUGACCCCGUAGCUCAGUACAUAAAUGGGAUGCGAUACAUGAGAGGGUCCUAAGGCAGAAAUCUAGGGCCACUUGGAUUGCCUAUGGAGACUCCAACUUUAAAUUUUUUAUGCUCUAGGGAUAGAGUUUCCUGCAUUUAUACUGAACAGGGGGUCAAGCUUACUGAUUCAGCAUUGAUUGAACAAGAGUUUGUUAGCUUCUUUCAAAACUUAAUGGGGGAUGCUGCACAGGAACUAGCGUGUAUAGAUGUUAAUAUAGACAGGGAUGGCCCUUGUUUAACACUAGCUCAACAACAAAUACUGAUGAGUCCUGUCACACAAGAGGAUGUUUUGAAGGUUCUAACUGACAUGCCUAGUGAUAAAUCCUCUGGAGUGGAUGGAUUUCCAGUUGAGUUCUUCAAAGAAUAUUGGCAAGUUGUGGUCUCUCAUGUGAUCUCUGCAGUUUUAAGCUUCUUCCAGAUGGAAAAUUAUUGAGGUAAAUCAACUAUACCACUCUAACAUUGGUUCCUAAAGUCCCAAAUCCAACUUAUGUGAAAGAUUCAGUCCUAUAGCCUGUUGCUCUACAAUGUACAAACUUGUGGCCAAGAUACUUACAGCUACUACAAUUUUCCUUCAUUGAGGGAAGGAAUAUACUGGAAAAUGUGAUUAUUGCUCACGAGUUGAUCAAUAAGUAUACUCAGAAAGGUAUAUCCCCUAGGUGCAUAGUCAAGGUGGACAUAAGAAAGGGUUAUGAUUAAGUUGAAUGGCCUUUUUUACUAAUGGCGCUACUAGAGUUUGGGUUUCCUCACAAAAUGGUAAGACUUAAUUAUGACAUGCGUGAAGAUUGUCCUGUACUCUGCUGAUUAAUGGAGGACCAACCACUAGAUUCCAGGCCAACGAGACCCCAUGUCUCCUACCUCUUUGUCUUGGCAUGUAAUACCUGAACAGAGCACUAAAGCAACUUUGCCAUAAUCCUUCAUUCAACUACCAUCCUUCAUUCAACUACCAUCCCAAGUGUGCUAAGAUGAAGCUGGUGCAUAUUUGCUUUGUGGAUGAUCUCCUUUUGUGUUGUAUAGAAGACACCAUCUCAGUCAAGUUGAUGAUGGAGAAAUUUGAUUAUUUUUAUGUGGUCUCAGGGUAGAAGGCAAAUUUGGAUAAAAGUUCUCUAUAUGUUGCAGGUGUCUCCACAUAUGCUACCGAUUAACUCCUAAAUGAAAUGCACUUUACACUAGGAAAAAUUCCAUUCAAACAUCUUGGGGUACGGCCUCAAGAAAGUUGACUAUUAGCCGAUGUAUGCCCAUGGUUGAUAAGAUUAUAGCAAGAGUUAAGUGCUGGACUUCUAAACUUUUGCCUUACGGGGUAGAUUGCAAUUGAUAGAGAGUGUUUUAUUUGAGAUGUAAACUUAUUGGACUCAAAAAGUCUUUUUGAUACCAAAAAUAGAUUCUAUCAUUGAUUAUCAAUGUAUGUGGGAAUUUCCUCUUGACUGGGUGUCUGAGUAUUCAAGAAGAGCUCUUGUAGCUUGGGAUACAAUUUGUCAACCUAGGUCUUCCGGAGGAUUGAAUGUACUGGACCUUUUUCUUUGGAAUAAGGCUGCACUUUGUAAGCUCUCUGGGCAGUGUCCAAGGGCAAAGAAACUCUAUGGGCGCAGUGGAUUCACCACUUCUAUAUAAAGGGUAAGGACAUCAACACAGUGAAUACUCCAAAACAGGCUUCUUGGCUGUCAGAAAAAACUUCGACGCUAGAUUGUGGCUGGAGGGUGCCAUUAAUGUCGUCGAAACGCUUGAUAAGUACUCUGUGAUGGGAAGUUUUAGCAUCAAAAAGGCUUAUCUUGCAAUGCUUCCUCAAUGCCCAAAACCCUUGUGAAAAAACCUAGCACUGGUCACAGGUUUAUUGCCAAGGCAUCAUUUUAUGAUGUAGCUGGCACUACACAAAAGCCUAUCAACAGUGGACAUUCAGGUUGAUACAGAGUGUGUCUUGUGCUCAUUUCAGGAAGAAGAGUCUCAGAACCAUCUUUUCUUUGAGUGUGCCUACUCUUGUUAUAUGUGGAGAACAUUAUUAAAUUGGCGGAGCAUUUAUCGACAAAUUGGGGACUGGAAAUCUGAGGUUUGAUGGGUAUCUUCUGGAAUACAUUCCACCAGAGGAAAGUCCCUAGUGCUUCGGUUUUUAUUUGCAACUGUGGUCUAUCAUGUAUGGAUCGGAAGGAACAAUAGAAGAUUCAAGCAUGAGAGAAGAGAUUGUAAGGACAGACUGAAGGAGAUAGUUCUACUUGUACAUAUUAAGGGGCAGAAGCAGGCAAACUGGACCACUGUUUUGACCAAACUAAACAAAUACUCCUGCUAGCUACUUAUCUAUUCCCUUGUACAUGGAAUCUCACUAGUUAUAAAGUGCAGAAUCGCUACAGUUAGUGAAAGAUAAUAGUGUAACUUAAAACUGUUGCUUUUGGUUAUUUUUCUAGGAUCUAACUCUCGAGUCUAAUGAGUUGUACAUAUUGCUCACUUGAUUAAUAGAAUUCUUUCAUUUGACCAAAAAUAUAAUAAAUAAUUAUUUAGGGAUAAAAUACAACAACAACAACAACAACAACAGUAUAAUCCCACCAUGUGGGGUCUGGGGAGGGUAGACUGUACGCAGACCUAACCCCCACCUUGAAAGGUAGGGCGACUGUUUCUGAAAGACUCUCGGCUUAAGAGAGAAGAACAAGAGAAGAAAAACAAGGAAAGCAAGACAUAGGUCAGUAGAACUAAGCAUAUCAAGAACAAUAUACAAAUAUGAAUAAUGAGAGUGAGAAAGUCAGGGUAGGAAAGACCGGAAAGAAAGGAGCAUUAACUACUAUAGAUAAAUAGGAUAUCCAAAGUAAACCGGACCAACAAAUGUAAGUAGUAAUCAAAUGUAGAAAUCAAACGUUAAUAAACAAAUGAGCAAAACUACAACUACUAUGGAGAAAAGAUAAGCCACCUAUCCUACUAUCUUAGUCUGAGUCCUCCACAACCUCCUAUCUAAGGUCAUGUCUUCGGUGAGCUGCAACUGUGCCAUAUCCGUCUAAUCACCUCUUUCCAAUACUUCUUCGGCCUCCCUUUGCCCCUCCUGAAAUUGUCCAUAGCCAACCUCUCGCACCUCCGCACUGGGGCAUCUGUGUUUCUCCUCUUCACAUGUCCAAACCAUCUUAGUCUCGCUUCCUGCAUCUUGUCCUCCACCGAUGCUACUCCCAUCUUGUCUCGGAUAUCUUCAUUCCUAAUUCUAUCCAUCCUAGUGUGCUCACACAUCCACCGCAGCAUUCAUAUUUCCGCGACUUUCAUCUUCUGAAUAUGAAGUUUCUUGAUUGGCCAACACUCCGCCCCGUACAAUUGAGUUGGUCUAACCACCACUUUGUAGAACUUGCCUUUGAGUUUUGGUGACACUUUCUUGUCACACAACACUCCGAAGGCUAGCCUCCAUUUCAUCCACCCUGCAUCAAUACGGUGUGAAACAUCGUCGUCGAUAUCCCCAUCUUCCUGUAUAAUAGACCCAAGAUACUUGAAGCUUCUUUUCUUUUGAAUGGCCUGUGUACCAAGCCUCACUUCCCCGUCAGCCUCACGCGGCCGGCCACUGAACCUGGACUCCAAAUAUUCUGUCUUGAUCCUACUCAAUUUAAAUCCUUUAGACUCCAACGUCUGUCUCUAACCUUCCAGCUUGUCGUUAACUCCGUUGCGAGUCUCGUCAAUCAGGGCUAUGUCAUCCACGAACAACAUACACCAAGGCACCUCACCUUGUAUUUGUCUCGUCAAUUGAUCCAUCACCAGGGCGAAUAGAAAUGGGCUAAGAGCUAAUCCCUGAUGCAACCCCAUCGUAACAGGAAAUUGCUAUGAAUCUCCUCCUACCGUCCUUACCCUGAUCUUAGCUCCAUCAUACAUGUCUUUAAUCGCUCUAAUGUACGCCACUGUUAUACCUUUAGCCUCCAAGCAUCUCCAUAGGACCUCUCUUGGCACUUUUUAUAGGCCUUUUCUAGGUCAAUGAAUAUCAUGUGUAAGUCCCUCUUCCGCUCCCUAUACUGCUACACCAAUCUCCUUACAAUAUGAAUGGCUUCUGUAGUUGAGCGCCCCGGCAUGAAUCCAAAUUGGUUCUCUGAAAUAGACACACUUCUCCUCAUCCUAAUUUCCAUCAUCCUUUCCCACACUUUCAUAGUGUGACUUAGCAGCUUGAUACCUCUAUAGUUGUUGCAGCUUUGAAUGUCUCCCUUGUUCUUGUACACGGGAAUCAUUGUACUCCACCUCCAUUCUUUCGACAUCUUCGAUGACUUGAAAAUGACAUUAAACAACGCAGUCAGCCACUUCAAUCCUCCCCUAUCUGCAUUUUUCCAAAAUUCCCCAGGGAUCUCGUCAGGUCCGGUCGCUCUUCCCCUGCACAUCCUACGAACAGCUCCCUUAACCUCCUCAACCUUUAUUCUCCUGCAAUACCCAAAGUUGCGACGCCUAUCCAAGUGCUCCAAGUCUCCCAACUCAAAAUAUCUGUCCCCUCCUUCGUUCAAGAGUUCGUGAAAGUAUGACUGCCAUCUCUGUCUAAUGCGGGAUUCCUAUACCAGCACUUGACCAUCCUCGUCCUUGAUGUACUUCACUUGAUCCAAGUCGCGUGCCUUCCUCUCUCUCGCCUUGGCGAGCUUAAAUAGCUUCUUAUCCCCACCUCUGUCCUCUAGUUCUUCAUAAAGGCGUUCAAAGGCUACCGUUUUAGUUGCCGAAACUGCCAUCUUCGCCUUCUUAUUCGCCAUCUUAUUUUAAAAUAUCUAAAGGUAUAAUCUAUCUAAAAGAUGAAUAUGAAAAUAAAUAUAAAAUUACUCAAAAAUAUUUAAGAAAAUCUCAAAACAUACAAUAGUUAGUACUUUUCUGUUAUAGGAUAUUCCAAUAUAAAAUCUGCCACCAGCAGGGAGAAAAUUCGGCUUUAGCAAGUAGGUUUCUUCUUGGAUCUACUCAAAAAGAUCAGGUUGUAUUGCCACCCAUCACUAAUCACGUAGCAUUUUGUGGUGGUUGAUCCUUCAAGAAACACCGUGCCCGUGCGAACUAUCUAUUUAUAAUUGACCGGACUCCCAUUUGUAUUAGAGUCUUACAAAACUUCAACAUUGUCUCCAACUUUCUCAAGUUAAAAAUAAAAUUGAGUGAUCAGUCUUUGUUAUCAUUUACCCUGCUUGAAGAAAAAGAGGGCCAAUUGAAAGGUAUAAAAUAUUAUCUAAAAGAUUCAAGUUGGUGUCCGGGCUAGCUUGUGUGCACCUCGACCAAUUCUACGGGAAACAUGCUACAUCCCACUAGCACAAGUAUCGGGUAACUGUGUUUACCGUUACCGAGGCUUGGACAGAUGGAAUGUAGUGUUUUUUUUUCUUCCUCUGAGAUUUAAACCUGAGACCUCAUGGUUGACAUUUUAGACACAUGUUAAGGUCUUACAUAAAGAAAGGUGGAAAGUUGUUUCUCUGUCAAAAUGUGGUCUAAGUAUGUUGGAAAGGAAAAUUGAAUCAUGUUUGCUCUUUUAGACCCAUAAUUUGGAGGUAUGGUUACCGAUUACUGCGAAACCAGAGAAUUAUACAUCUGCUGAUUUAUUUUGUAAUUCUCUUUGCAUAAGUUCAGAGGUUAUGUUACAGCCUCACAGGAGAGUAUUUCUGCAAAUGCAUUACUCGUCUAAUUCUCCUUUAUAUUCUCAGCUGUGUUAGAAACCAGUUUGGUUUCAGUUACCAAGCAUCACUUAGGCUAUUACCAUUCACACCCUGUUGUGAUGAUUCAUUUUCAGUUUUAAUGUGCCUAUGUAUCUCCAUGCAGGCCGUAGAUGGAAGAGUCCCAGUUCCUGUGCACACCCCUCAUAGCGGUGCUACAUCCUCCUCAGGACCCUCUUCUUCCACAGCUACGGGCUGUUCACAGAAUCAAACCGUGGUCAUUCAGAACCCUAUGUCUUUAGAUGGAAGUGGCAAGUUGGUGAGCAAUGUUGUUGUUGGUGUUACGACGACGACUUAGGGUUAGCUGUGAAAUGCAAUAGCAGAAGGAUUAAGAUUCCUAUGUCUGUGAAAUGCACCUAAUUGAAGGCAGUAAGGUUUUUGCUCGCUUCCAUUGGAUCGAUGAGUAUAAAUGUGGUGCUAUAUAGAUAUGGUAUUAUUUAGUUCUUGUAUUAAAGCAUUUCUAGAUUGAAGAACUGUACCAAAGGUCUGACUAUUUGUGGUAACAAUACCAAAGUGAUUGAACAUUUAGGCUUUAGUAAUGUUGAUUUUCUGAAGACUGUAAAUGUUGCCAAAUUAGAUUCUGUGGUGUGGAUACGCCCGAUGAUCCAAUUACAGAAUGUUGAUAUUUACCAUUUGUCCUGAUGUUAAUAAAAUUUAAUCAACUUGAUGUA